rnacentral:lncRNA from 1 species
UAUAUAUAUACCAAAAAUUCUUCUCAGCACAAGACGUACCAAGAGAGACUAAAGUAAGUUACAACCAAAAUCAAAAGUAAAACCAAAAGAAACUAUACAAGGCCCAAACAAAGCAUAGGACUAGACCACCAAUUAUGACAGUUUAAAGCUAAAGUACUACUCGUUGCUUUCAACCAUCUGAAUGAAAAAGUCUUGAUCUUGUCCAACAUAUGAAGUAAAGAAUUCGCCGAGCCUCUAAACAAACGAUGGUUUCUUUCGG